rnacentral:rRNA from 1 species
GACAGAGGGUGCAAACGUUGUUCGGAAUCACUGGGCGUAAAGCGCGUGUAGGCGGCCGCGUAAGUCGGGCGUGAAAUCCCACAGCUCAACUGUGGAAGUGCACUCGAAACUGUGCGGCUAGAGUCCUGGAGAGGAAGGUGGAAUACUUGGUGUAGAGGUGAAAUUCGUAGAUAUCAAGUGGAACACCGGUGGCGAAGGCGGCCUUCUGGACAGUGACUGACGCUGAGACGCGAAAGCUAGGGGAGCAAACGGG